rnacentral:rRNA from 1 species
CGUAGGUGGUAGUGUAAGUCUGAGGUGGAAUCCUAUGGCUUAACCAUAGAACUGCCUUGGAUACUGUAUUACUUGAGUCAGUGAGGGGAGGGUAGAAUUCCUGGUGUAGCGGUGAAAUGCGUAGAUAUCAGGAGGAAGGCCUGUGGCGAAGGCGGCCCUCUGGCGCUGGACUGACACUGAGGCGCGAAAGCGUGGGGAGCAAACAGGAUUAGAUACCCUGGUAGUCCACGCCCUAAACGGUGGGCACUAGGUGUAGGGCUCGUAAGGGUUCUGUGCCGAAGGGAAACCAUUAAGUGCCCCGCCUGGGGAGUACGGCCGCAAGGUUGAA